rnacentral:ncRNA from 1 species
CCUGAAACCAAACAAGCUACUUCCAAACAGCUAACAGAGUAAACUUGUCUAUGAGGCAAAAUAUAAGAUUUAGAAGUAGAGGUGAAAAGCCAAUCAAGUUUGGUGAUAGCUGG